CAGUGCUAAAAAAGAGAAGUGUGACUCCCUCUGUCUUGAAGUCUGUUCGUGCGUCUGUGCUCUAAGGAUACCAGGCCCAUUGCUGAUACUACACAGCUACGUAACCAUGGUGCAGACUUCUGAGGAAAUUGCUGAGUUGUGGAAAAAAAAAAAAAAAAAGCUGUCAGAAUGUCUGAAGAGGAGAUUCGUGUGCGAUGAGAAAGCUGAAAUUGCAGAGAGGGCAAGACAAGGAAAAGCACCGCCAUGGGCAAGUAUAAAGUCGUAAAGAAAACCUAGAGUGGCAGAAGGUGGCAUGACUGCGGCUGUGUUCCGGGGACCUGCAGGAACUGCCCCUUCUCCUCCUGACUCUUGCCUGCCUGGCUAGCAAAGACUCUGCGUUUGUCUUCUAAGAAGUGUUCCUGUCCUGCUUCUUUUCAAGUCUGUGGGAAACAAAUAUAAAACACUGGGACUACAUCUUUGCUAGUGAAAUUUUUAGUAACUGGUAACAUUACUAAAGCCAAGCCAACAGUUAAGGAACAGUCCACAAUUAAGAGUGGGCUUGAAUUUUAUAGAAUAGGUACAGCUUGCAUUAAUUGUUGAGUUUGUCAUUGCAAAUAAAAAGAGUCAAAUUCCAGAGAAAGCAAAAAAGAGAAAGAUUUUUCAUUACUGGGAAGAAGAGCUAGAUGCAUGUACUUGAAGUUAAAAGUUCCAGAAUGCUAUACCACAUUUGAUCCAAAAGUGUGAAGAGGAAAGGAAAAUGGUGAUACAUCAAUGUUAGAAAAACACCCAAAAGUGACGAAGAAGAAGAAAGUGCAUUUAAGUGCUGCUCAAGAAAACAAGUAACUUUAGUUACAAUAGUAAUUACCAUGGCAUUGUAUUAUUAAUUACUACUUACCACUUUCUGACUAUUCUUUUGACUAUAAGCUGAACAAUUGCAGUGUCUCCCAGUAUUUGAAGCCAAGUCUCUCAACAGUAUGUAAGCAGAAGAAAACCAUCGUUAUCAGCUGGGUAGACAUUGCAUCAUUAGUCUGAAUACAGUUUAGAAAUCUAAAGUCUCUGUUAUCUGUUAAAUCUAAACCUUCAACUGGUGAAUAAACCUUUAUUAUAGAAUUCUGACUAAAGGGGGAAAACCCCUAAACUGCCUAAUUUAAAUUGUCCUUAGAAAUGCUCAAGAAGACUUUUAUUUGUCAUAUUCUAUGAAAUAAGAACCUAUCUUAAGCUGCAAUUCUGAAAGCUGGAACAUAGGUUACCAGAAGUCCACUGAACGAUGGACUUUCCAGAUGCAGCCCUGUAAUAUGGCCUCUCAGAUGGAAUCAGAACAAAAAACCGUAUAUAUAUAUGAAGUAUGAGACAGUUGUCCUAUUUAGUUGAUUUAAGCCAAGAAAAUCAUUCAACGCAGAAGGCUAACAGUCUCAGCCUUUCUGAACAAAAAGGUCCUAUACGAUACAGUAAGUAUGUAGGUAGUACGUAGUAGUUGGUUAGAUAUGCUGAACCUUACCAGAGGUUCAGCCCAAGCCUGAAGGAAUUUGUUUGAGUUUAGUCAUAUCCAACAUUGCAUACCAGCUUUAUAUGAUAUAACUUGCAGGCUGACCAGCCUGUAAGUUGAUUUCAGCGGCAAGUGAGGCUAUGGUUGGCAUAGUUAAUUAAAACAUAAAUAUUGUGAAGACUAACUGACAUUGUGUGAUUUAAGGCUCCUUAAAUAAAAUGGAACAAUAUUGUUUAUGAGGAACACGUUAACACUAGUCUUUCAUGGUUGUAUUGAUUAAAGUUUGUCUUUAUCUUG